rnacentral:rRNA from 1 species
AUGUCUGGAAUUCCUUAUUUAUAUCCCAUGCAAAAGAAGAGAAUCCAAGGCAAAGGCGAGAACAAUAAAAUUAAAAUUUCUUCCUUUUCGGAGGGAUUUCACCCAUGGCACCUUCAUCCUCAGCAAGAAGUGAGUAGUUGGCAUUUCCGGUUUCCGAACAAAUGGAUACAAAUUGACCUUGUGGAUCCGAUGAUACCACGCCUGGGAGACUUUCAGAAGAAUAAGAAGAAGAAGGCGGAUUCAAUUCUUCAAGUAAAAGUCAAGGGCUACUGGCAGUUUCCUAUCAAUAACGAUCCUUUGAAGCUCACAUUAACCCGUCAAUUUUGGAUCCAAUUCGGGAUUUUUCUUGGGAAGUUUCGGGAAGAAAUUGGAAUGGAAUAA